GGUUACGUUACUGAUAACAAAUGCAUGGACAGGCAACUUGUAACUGUAACGCAUUACAUUUAAAAAGUAACCUACCCAACCCUGUAUACAGGACAUAAUCAACUCACACAUUGUUUGAUAUUUCCGUUUUUAAUUGAUGGGAAAGGUCAACAGAAAAGUUGUAUAGUGGCAUAACAGGUCAUUGCAGACACCUUAACAUGUAGAAAGUGGACAGGCUCUACAGAUCCUAUGUUGCUAUAAUUAGAUGUUACGAAUGAGUCAGACACUCGUUUGAGGCAUGAUGAAUGAACAAGGUGUGUGGAGAAAAACUGUAUCUGGUUUAGUGCUCAACUGACUCCAUUGAGUCUUUUUGUGCAUAUUCAUCAUUCAACAUAGUCCAGUUGACCGACUGUUUUUUUUUUUAGUUCCAAAAUUCCAUCUAUUCUCAGACAGUUCCACUCCAGAACUUCAAGGUCCAGAAUUCAACUGAGAAUACCAGUCGUGUCACAUAUCCACAUUCUGAACCAACAGCUGUAAUCUGCCACUUUUGGAGUGUCGCAUAGGCAUUUUUAUACUUGGUUCUCCUUGUUUUGAAGAAAGAAAACCCACGAGGAACAGUGAUAAAGAGGAGACAGUAGUGACGGACUGAAAUAGGAUGCAGAUUACUCCAAAUAUUUUCUAGAGAAUGAAACUGAGUUAGACCCAAGGAAGUGUCUGAGGCACAGCAAGCAACAUCUCACAUGCCCCCCUGCAACUUAAAGCCAAGAUGCACAUUCUAUAUAUUGUGUGUAAUUUCUCCAAGAGGAAAUGCAAUACUGACGAAAUGGAUAAAAACCUCUGCAAUUUCUGCAACUUGAGGAGAAACCAUACCUUUUGUUACAGUGAAAUAAUUGAUUUGUCAGUGGUGUACAACAUUGUAAAGCGAUGUGCAACAUAGAGCAAAAACAAUUACCAAAACUAAAUACAAAUAUACAUUCUGUACUCUUAAAUGGGCCUUUUUGUAUGUGUACUCAUGUACAAGAUAAGGAAGAUAUUUGGAUAUAUACAUAGUCAAUACCUGAUGUCAUGUCUUGAUCGUACUAUAUGGAGAAGAUUCUAUGUGUACAUUGUAACAUAAACAAACACACAUAGCCGUAUGUCUAGAGGAAGGUCGGAAUGCAUUUGGACAGUCAAAGUUGUGUUGUUGUUUCUGGCGCUGUACUCCUUCACUCUGGGUUUUACAGUACAUACCGACUGUGGUUAAAGUGCAGUCUGUCAUCUUUAAUAAGGGGGUAUAUUUAUUCAUAUCACGUGAAAUGCAUAGAAAAGACAGCCAUUUUUGUAUAUAGUCCCCUCAAUAACUACUUCAAACAUGAAUGUUUCUCAAUGCAUGGUGAACUCCUCCCCAUUCUGUAAUGAAACGGGACGCUUCCAAAUACCUGACUUUCUAAUAUAAACAUUAUACAUGUUGUAACUUCCCCUAAAAUCGAGGACUGUGUGCAAACAAUGUUGUUAUCAUCACAAAAACAAUCAAUUAUGAAUGAAAACACCCUAAAAAUAAAACUGUAUAUCAUUUCAAAUCCAAAGUGCUUGAGUACAAACUACAAAAAAAGACAAUUGUCCAAAUUAUUUUGGACCUCACUGUAUGUGCAUUAUCAGAGUUGCAGCUUGUCACUGUUACAUACAGUACAACUUUUACAUACAGUAAAUAAUAAAAGAAAAGCAAACCGUCACAUUAGAACCACUACUCCCCCUUGAGGU
ensembl:lncRNA